rnacentral:rRNA from 1 species
GUGGGGAAUCUUAGACAAUGGGGGCAACCCUGAUCUAGCCAUGCCGCGUGAGUGAUGAAGGCCUUAGGGUCGUAAAGCUCUUUCGCUGGGGAAGAUAAUGACGGUACCCAGUAAAGAAACCCCGGCUAACUCCGUGCCAGCAGCCGCGGUAAUACGGAGGGGGUUAGCGUUGUUCGGAAUUACUGGGCGUAAAGCGCGCGUAGGCGGAUUGGAAAGUUGGGGGUGAAAUCCCGGGGCUCAACCCUGGAAUGGCCUUCAAAACUCCCAGUCUUGAGGUCGAGAGAGGUGAGUGGAAUUCCGAGUGUAGAGGUGAAAUUCGUAGAUAUUCGGAGGAACACCAGUGGCGAAGGCGGCUCACUGGCUCGAUACUGACGCUGAGGUGCGAAAGCGUGGGGAGCAAACAGGAUUAGAAUCCCUAGUAGUCC